CCUAGGGUCACCCAUCGACAGUAGGUUUCACAUCUCUUGGCCUAGAAUCUUAAUGAGUGCCGCACUACACGCUGUUACCGCUAUCUUCACUGACCGUUUCCCUAGUCGUCCUUUUGCUUUAGGAGGACUUUCAAUAUCCCACACCCUCUCUUUUAGCUCCCCUCAGAUUUUGGACAUCGUCCGCUCCGGUUUUGUAGCUGGCCCAAAACACCAAUGGCUCCCUAAGGCACCUAAAAACCUUAAGGUAGUGUCUGGUUGCCUUAUUCUGGAUGGAAUAAGGGCUUAUUUCAUCUUAUUCUACCAAAUAGGUAA
rnacentral:lncRNA from 1 species